AUUUAAUUAAAUUUAUUGCUUCGAUAAGCUAGUUUUGAGCUAUUCGGAAACAAUCAGUCGGAAUCUUAUGCCUAAAUAAACUAGUAAAUAAACUUUUGUUUGUACCACUACUGAAUUCAUAGUAUCCUUCAGAAUCAUGUUCAAACUGUUCUAAAUUCGGAAUUAAACGUUUCAAGAAAAUCUUUCCACAGUCCGGACAAGAAUAUGUCUUUGGAGCAACAUUUUGAUGAUGAAUGUAAGAAUGAUUCUCUAAUUCGGCCCGGAAGAAGAAUUUUUGGCGACAUUCUGAGCAGUCAUAAGGGCGAGAAUCAAGACCAUGAUCUACCAUAUGGCGUUGGAGGAGGGAUGAAUUUGUGAAGACAGCUGCACAUAUGUAACAA